CAGUAGCCGCGGUAAUACGAAGGGUGCAAACGUUGCUCGGAGUUAUUGGGCGUAAAGCGCACGUAGGCGGCUCCGCAAGUCGGAUGUGAAAGCCUUCGGCUUAACCGAAGAAGUGCAUCCGAAACUGCAGAGCUUGAGUACUUAAGAGGAUCGCGGAAUUCCCGGUGUAGAGGUGAAAUUCGUAGAUAUCGGGAGGAACACCAGUGGCGAAGGCGGCGAUCUGGGAAGAUACUGACGCUGAGGUGCGAAAGCGUGGGGAGCAAACAGGAUUAGAUACCCCUGUAGUCCCUGUCUCUUAUAC
rnacentral:rRNA from 1 species